GAUGAACGCUGGCGGCAUGCCUAAGACAUGCAAGUCGAACGAGACGGCCCAAUGAAGAUAGAGUGCUUGCACAAAGUUGGAUUUGGAUUCCCGUCUAGUGGCGCAAGGGUGAGUAACACGUGGGUAAUCUACCUUCGAGUCUGGAAUAACAGUUAGAAAUGAUUGCUAAUGCCGGAUGAUAUAUAGGAAGACAUACUACUUAUAUUAAAAGGAGCCUUUAAAGCUUCGCUUGAAGAUGAGCCUGCGACGUAUUAGCUAGUUGGUGGGGUAAUGGCCUACCAAGGCGACGAUGCGUAGCCGACCUGAGAGGGUGAUCGGCCACACUGGGACUGAGACACGGCCCAGACUCCUACGGGAGACAGCAGUUAGGAAUAUUCGUCAAUGGGGG
rnacentral:rRNA from 1 species